AUGAACGCUAGCGGCAGGCUUUAACACAUUGCAAGUCGAGGGGUAGAAGCAGCUUGCUGCUUUGAGACCGGCGCACGGGUGCGUAACGCGUAUGCAAUCUACCUUUUUACAGAGGGAUAGCCCAGAGAAAUUUGGAUUAAUACCUCAUAGUAUGUGAGAAUCGCAUGGUUUUCACAUUAAAGUUCCAACGGUAAAAGAUAAGCAUGCGUCCCAUUAGCUAGAUGGUAAGGUAACGGCUUACCAUGGCGACGAUGGGUAGGGGUCCUGAGAGGGAGAUCCCCCACACUGGUACUGAGACACGGACCAGACUCCUACGGGAGGCAGCAGUGAGGAAUAUUGGACAAUGGGCGCAAGCCUGAUCCAGCCAUGCCGCGUGCAGGAUGACGGUCCUAUGGAUUGUAAACUGCUUUUGUACAGGAAGAAACACUCCCUCGUGAGGGAGCUUGACGGUACUGUAAGAAUAAGGAUCGGCUAACUCCGUG
rnacentral:rRNA from 1 species